GGAUAGAUGUACGAACAAUAAAUUUGAAUAGUUUGGUAGGUCAAAUGUGGUAUCUAAGUGUUUCAGACUUGUAAACUAUACAUAACACAAUCUAAAGAAGUGCUAAAUUUUGAAUAAACUUCAUUUACGAUAACUAUACUCUCAUCCUCCCACCAUCUCUCACUCUAUAUGUCUUCGUAGAACGUCCAUACUCUUACCUUUUGUCUGGUAUGUGACACUUGUUGCAGCCUACAAAAUUGUACUCCUGACUUCCAAAGUAUGCCCUAAUCAGCCAAAUAUCCAAGUAAGCACUAACGAUUAAAAUUUUAUUGCCUCCUUUAUUUAACAUAAUCACUUCUUUUAUUUUGCUUGUAUCCUAUAUAAAGUGGUAAUAGUCAUGAGCUUGAUUUGAAGUAAAUGAAAUAGAGAGAUUUCCCAAUUUUGUAUCGAUUGUUCUAUAUUCAAUCUUGAAUUAACGAACUUAUGGUUAUAAAAUUCCCAGGUAUUCGUAAAAUCAAAGGGUCUUUGAACUUGUUUUUCAAUUCUUUAUGCUUCCACCUACACCUCUUUUGCAUUUCAAUUUUUAGGCAGAUGAUACCCUAUACCAGUAAUGUCAUGGCAGAUAAAAGCAUGGACGUAUCCAAGUUUGCUAAUCACUUAUUUCCUUUUUCUUUCCUGAGCCAGAUCCUCCAGUCAAAUCAAAAGAGUGAGGCAUCAAGAUUGGCUGGAUUUCUUGACGCCAGAAAUGCAGUAAAUAAGCAGACUCCCAAAAUCCAGGCUUCUCAGUAAUGCUGUUCCUCUUGGUCCUGUCCUUGCUUCGAGUGUAGGUUGAGGAGGAACAUGAAAUGUCUCUUUCAAGGACACUGAUUUCUAAAUAGUUUUCUCUUUAUAUCUUCAUUAGGAGUGAUCCCUAUGUCAUCUAGCAGUUCACAAUAUUUCUUAUAUAAUGGACUUCUUGGAGUUGGAUUUCUCCAGGUUACAGUACUCAAAGCUUCGUGUAAAAUAUUUACAAAACCAGAGGACUUCUUGGAGUUAUAUCUUGGCAAUUCAACGCGUAAUUCCAUUACAACACAUCUACCAAAUGUUUACCAACAGCAUUUACCUAUAUCAAAGUCAAUGUAUCAUUAUCAAAUGUGAUGCAAUAUUGAAGAGAUA
rnacentral:lncRNA from 1 species